UGGACUGGGAAAUAAGGUUGGACUGCCAAUAGCAAUCCCCCCCGUAAGUGGUGGACCCACUUGGAUGGUCUGUGCUUGGAGACUGAUGGAUAGCCCUGAAGUGGUGUACUAACUUAAUUAUACCGCAGUGGAAAAGUGACAGUGCAUAGUCAAGCCAAUGCUAUAUGGUCAUGUAGAUACGCCUAAUUAGCCACAACACUUUGGGGAAGUUCUUCAGUUUAAUUUGGAACAGAGUCUUUUCUUCUUUGUGUAGUGAAUUGGUGUCUGAAUAGUUUUUGCAGAGGUCUGAAAACAAUACGUUAUUUUUAGACUG